CUUCCAUACAGUUUCACUACGUGCAAAUUUUGAAUUCUUGCAUUUCCGACAAGGGCAUGAUAUCUUAUGGUAUUCAUGAGUGAUCGGUGUAGAGCCUGCAUGGUACAUGAAUGUCUCUAGCCCACUCAGAAAUGCAUUCGUCACUCUCCCUUCCGAAUCUUUACGGGAAUACAUCCAACUCUGUAACUCGUAAAUAUUACCGCCAUCCGCCAUUUUCUUUU
rnacentral:lncRNA from 1 species